rnacentral:rRNA from 1 species
AUGAUGCUGUAUAAAGGAGUUAUCAACAGUCGGGUCCGGAAUGAUGAUAUACGAGAUAGAGUUGGGGUAGCACCGCUUGAAGAGAAGCUUGUCCAACAUCGUCUGAGAUGGUUUGGGCAUAUUCAGCGCAGGCCUCCAGAAGCUCCAGUGCAUAGCGGACGGCUAAAGCGUGCUGAUAAUGUCAAGAGAGGCCGGGGUAGACCGAACCUGACAUGGGAGGAGUUCGUAAAGAGAGAUCUGAAGGACUGGAGUAUCACCGAAGAACUAGCCAUGGACGGGUGCGUGGAAGCUUGCUAUCCAUGUGCCAGAACUAUGAGUUGGUUGCGAGAUCUUAUGGGUUUCAGCUUUCAGCUCUAG